GAGUCUCUUCGGCCUCGGUAGCAGGUUCUUUCUCUUCCUCUCGCUUAUCUUCCAUUUCUUUCUUUGCAUGAACCAACAGUAUUUUUUUUCCUUUAAUUUCUUUUCCAUUUCCAUUUGUUUUUUCUGUUUUCGUUUCCGUAAAUUCUUUGAAACCAAGAAUUACAUUUGCAUGUCAAGAAACAGGAUUGGUUUUUAAUACAGAAGAUCAUUUUGUUGAGAUUAUUAAGUGCAUUGGCAUAUUAUAUUUAUACACAUUAAGACGACUGGUCGAUUGUUUUCUCUUUUUUGUUUCUUUUGAAUGUGGGUUCUACGUUAUAUGAAGGCUGGGGGUGGAUUGAAUAUUUAUGUUGAUAUAGAGGCUGGCAUUACCCCGCGUUAAAUAUUAUGAUUUCUUUUAUGAAGACAAUGAUGGCUUCAAUGAUAUUGGAAACUGCAAUUUUAUUUUACUAUUUUGUUAAUUUGAUAGUUUGAUACGUUUUUAAUUCAUUUUGAUCACCUAAUGCCACCAUCUUUGUUGAUCAAUAAGUUUUUUUUUUUAAUGAAUUUACCAUAAUAUUAUUGAAAUCGUCUUCCAAAUCAUGAUAUCGAGUUUCAAAUCUCAAAACUAGAUGAAAGAAAAUGACUUGCUAUCCCUGAAAUUUUGCUGGUAUGAAUUCUGACAAUAGAUGUACUCGUUAUUUUAAAAGUGGGAAUUUUUUUUGUCCUCUGAAUUCCUUGUUUCUAAUUGGAAAUUCUUGGUGAUGGCCGUCGAGUAAUGAAGAAACCAGAAGACAUUUCGGCCU
rnacentral:misc_RNA from 1 species